rnacentral:rRNA from 1 species
UACGUAGGGGGCAAGCGUUGUCCGGAUUUAUUGGGCGUAAAGAGCGUGUAGGCGGCCUGAAAGGUCAGCUGUGAAAACUCGAGGCUCAACCUCGAGACGUCGGUUGAAACCAUCUGGCUAGAGUCCGGAAGAGGAGAGUGGAAUUCCCGGUGUAGCGGUGAAAUGCGCAGAUAUCGGGAAGAACACCGGUGGCGAAGGCGGUUCUCUGGGCAUGUCCUGACGCUGAGGAGCGAAAGUGUGGGGGAGCGAACAGG